rnacentral:tmRNA from 1 species
GGGGCUGAUUUCUGGAUUCGACGGGAUUUGCGAAACCCAAGGUGCAUGCCGAGGGGCGGUUGGCCUCGUAAAAAGCCGCAAAAAAUAGUCGCAAACGACGAAAACUACGCUUUAGCAGCUUAAUAACCUGCUUAGAGCCCUCUCUCCCUAGCCUCCGCUCUUAGGACGGGGAUCAAGAGAGGUCAAACCCAAAAGAGAUCGCGUGGAAGCCCUGCCUGGGGUUGAAGCGUUAAAACUUAAUCAGGCUAGUUUGUUAGUGGCGUGUCCGUCCGCAGCUGGCAAGCGAAUGUAAAGACUGACUAAGCAUGUAGUACCGAGGAUGUAGGAAUUUCGGACGCGGGUUCAACUCCCGCCAGCUCCACCA